UCGACUGAAACCACCCAGUCAAUGAUGUAUCACUAUGAAGUCAAGCCAUAGAUGUGAAGUUGCAAUGUAGUCAUGGAUGGAAUGGCGAUGAACUCAAUAUAGAAAACGAAAUAUUGUAUCAUGUUCAUAAACAUUUUAAUCGGGAUAUGAAAUUGAAGAGGAGUUUUCGAUGAGGGUGCCGCAGAUUCAGGCCACAAGGAUCCAGAUCCAGACUUCAACAUGUUUUGCUAUGGUGUAGUUCACCAGCCUCUUGCAGAUGCGCCAUCAGAAAAAAAUGAAAAUAUAGAAGACAGUUGCAGUCUAACGAAGAAGUCAUUGCAGAUAACAUGUAUGAAAGGAUGAGAAACCAGCUAGAACUGGAGGAUCUCUCAGAUAAGAUACACACAAACUACUCUGGAUCCUGGAUUGAAAUAUCUCGGCUGCAGUCGGUUCGAUCGAAGUUCCCUAUAGAAUUUAUAAUGAAUGUCUGGCCUAGAAGUAAAUAACAGAACUACGAAACUAACCUCACAGAUACCAGAAACUGAGAUUCUGAGGUGAACAUUAAGAACUACAUCAAUUAAGAACUUCAUCAAAAAUUUGUCAAAAAUAAGGUUUAUAUUUUAAGUUAUACCAUUCAAUUAUCCAAUUCGGCAUAUUAGGAAAUAUUACGAUCAAACAUUUAGACAAAAAAAUCAAAUUGUAAUGGUCUAUUUUAAACACAAAAGAGUUGAAAAUGU